AUACAUGCAAGUCGAACGAACUCUGGUAUUGAUUGGUGCUUGCAUCAUGAUUUACAUUUGAGUGAGUGGCGAACUGGUGAGUAACACGUGGGAAACCUGCCCAGAAGCGGGGGAUAACACCUGGAAACAGAUGCUAAUACCGCAUAACAACUUGGACCGCAUGGUCCGAGCUUGAAAGAUGGCUUCGGCUAUCACUUUUGGAUGGUCCCGCGGCGUAUUAGCUAGAUGGUGGGGUAACGGCUCACCAUGGCAAUGAUACGUAGCCGACCUGAGAGGGUAAUCGGCCACAUUGGGACUGAGACACGGCCCAAACUCCUACGGGAGGCAGCAGUAGGGAAUCUUCCACAAUGGACGAAAGUCUGAUGGAGCAACGCCGCGUGAGUGAAGAAGGGUUUCGGCUCGUAAAACUCUGUUGUUAAAGAAGAACAUAUCUGAGAGUAACUGUUCAGGUAUUGACGGUAUUUAACCAGAAAGCCACGGCUAACUACGUGCCAGCAGCCGCGGUAAUACGUAGGUGGCAAGCGUUGUCCGGAUUUAUUGGGCGUAAAGCGAGCGCAGGCGGUUUUUUAAGUCUGAUGUGAAAGCCUUCGGCUCAACCGAAGAAGUGCAUCGGAAACUGGGAAACUUGAGUGCAGAAGAGGACAGUGGAACUCCAUGUGUAGCGGUGAAAUGCGUAGAUAUAUGGAAGAACACCAGUGGCGAAGGCGGCUGUCUGGUCUGUAACUGACGCUGAGGCUCGAAAGUAUGGGUAGCAAACAGGAUUAGAUACCCUGGUAGUCCAUACCGUAAACGAUGAAUGCUAAGUGUUGGAGGGUUUCCGCCCUUCAGUGCUGCAGCUAACGCAUUAAGCAUUCCGCCUGGGGAGUACGGCCGCAAGGCUGAAACUCAAAGGAAUUGACGGGGGCCCGCACAAGCGGUGGAGCAUGUGGUUUAAUUCGAAGCUACGCGAAGAACCUUACCAGGUCUUGACAUACUAUGCAAAUCUAAGAGAUUAGACGUUCCCUUCGGGGACAUGGAUACAGGUGGUGCAUGGUUGUCGUCAGCUCGUGUCGUGAGAUGUUGGGUUAAGUCCCGCAACGAGCGCAACCCUUAUUAUCAGUUGCCAGCAUUAAGUUGGGCACUCUGGUGAGACUGCCGGUGACAAACCGGAGGAAGGUGGGGAUGACGUCAAAUCAUCAUGCCCCUUAUGACCUGGGCUACACACGUGCUACAAUGGAUGGUACAACGAGUUGCGAACUCGCGAGAGUAAGCUAAUCUCUUAAAGCCAUUCUCAGUUCGGAUUGUAGGCUGCAACUCGCCUACAUGAAGUCGGAAUCGCUAGUAAUCGCGGAUCAGCAUGCCGCGGUGAAUACGUUCCCGGGCCUUGUACACACCGCCCGUCACACCAUGAGAGUUUGUAACACCCAAAGUCGGUGGGGUAACCUUUUAGGAACCAGCCGCCUAAGGUGAC
rnacentral:rRNA from 2 species